GUUAAUCAGUAUUUCGAAGCGCAGGUCUACGACGUUUUUGUUAUUAAAGGAAACACAGCUGUCUUUAAGUGUCAAAUUCCAUCAUUCGUCUCCGAUCAUGUCGAUGUGAUUUCCUGGCAGGAUACGGCCAAUAAUUAUUACAAUCCUCCCACUGACGACUACGACAGCAAAUACUUGGUUUUACCGUCUGGUGAACUUCAUAUCAGAGAUGUUGGACCCGAAGAUGGAUACAAAUCAUACCAGUGUCGUACGAAACAUAGGCUUACUGGUGAAACAAGACUUAGUGCCACCAAAGGUCGUUUGGUCAUCACUGGUAAGUCUUUUUGCAACUGUUUUAUAUUUAAACAACAGGUGGAAUAACAAUUGAUACGCUUGCAAUAAUCGUAAUUAAAGGCAGAUAUCAAUAUCUCCUGGGGUUCUUUAGGUAUCGGUCACGAAAAAAUUGUCGCUUUCGUUUUCAACGAUAUUUUUUAUAUUGCAUGUUUGAAGUAAUAGUGAAAUUGUAUGUUUCCUGUUGCUUAUUUGGAUUAAAGGUUGGCGUGAUGGAAUAUAUUAUUCCUCCCUUUUAGCUUGAUUAUUACGUACGUUGUUUUUCACCGAACGGUAAUAAAUUUUUAUUCAGGUAAAAUAUGACCUAAAUUAAACAAAAUUACUAUUGGAAUUUACCCAGUCUUGCUAAUCAAUUUAUUAUCCCUACACACAAACACGGCUAUAAAUAAUGCAAAUGUAAUGUUUCGCAAAGAAGUAUAACUCGAAUUAUUGAUAAUAAAUAAAGGGCAGA
rnacentral:misc_RNA from 1 species